rnacentral:snRNA from 1 species
ACUUUACUGUCUUCAAUUUCCAA